rnacentral:rRNA from 1 species
AUUGAACGCUGGCGGCAGGCCUAACACAUGCAAGUCGAGCGGAUGAAGGGAGCUUGCUCCUGGAUUCAGCGGCGGACGGGUGAGUAAUGCCUAGGAAUCUGCCUGGUAGUGGGGGAUAACGUCCGAAAACGGGCGCUAAUACCGCAUACGUCCUGAGGUAGAAAGUGGGGGAUCUUCGGACCUCCCGCUAUCAGAUGAGCCUAGUUCGGAUUAGCUAGUUGGUGGGGUAAAGGCCUACCAAGGCGACGAUCCGUAACUGGUCUGAGAGGAUGAUCAGUCACACUGGAACUGAGACAUGGUCCAGACUCCUACGGGAGGCAGCAGUGGGGAAUAUUGGACAAUGGGCGAAAGCCUGAUCCAGCCAUGCCGCGUGUGUGAAGAAGGUCUUCGGAUUGUAAAGCACUUUAAGUUGGGAGGAAGGGCAGUAAGUUAAUACCUUGCUGUUUUGACGUUACCAACAGAAUAAGCACCGGCUAACUUCGUG